AAAGGGAAUCUGUCACCUGGUUUGAGCAUAUUAAGGUGUUACUACUUCCAUGUACAAUACGAUACCUUAUUUCUUGAUGUAGUCUUCAUUUUAUGUUUCAUUGUUUCAUUAGCGAUAAAAUCCACUUUUUAUGUUAUGCAAAUGAGUGUCCAAGGUGCCCAGAGGGGCAGCAGUGACAGAUUCCCUUUAAGG